CAGAUCUUUUGAUCUCUUAGCCUCCCUAUCUCUUUUCUGGCUAAUUCCAGAAUCCUCUGCCUCUCUCUGGUCUCACCUUGAGCCACAAUGAUGACCAUGGUCAGCUCUUUACCAGUUCAAAACACUCCACAACUUUGGCUUUUUUUGCGGUAAGGUCUCUAUUUGUCUCUCUUGAGCUAAGAUCAUGAUCAAGAAAGAUCUUGAGCUCAAGACCUUUCUGCCUCCAGCCCUCCGAGUACUGGAUCACCAUCCAAGUGGUGGGAUAUGCUACCAUACCCAGCAAAAGACUAAAUGUUAGUGGAAAUCUCCAGGUGGAAACACUAAUCUUAAGGUUAUCUUCCCCAUUUGAAAAUGGUUUGUUUAUGCCUGAAUUACUGUUUAUUGCUAUACAUACACACUGUAGAGGAAUAUAUGUAUUUAUACUAUUUAAUUUAAACUGGUAAUCAAGUUUAUGGUAAUCUUCCUUCCUCAGAGUCUCAAAUGUUGGGAUUACUAUUGAAUGCUACCACACCUCACCAGCCACUUCUCCAGCACCAUGUCUGCCUAUGUGCCACGGCACUCCCUG
rnacentral:lncRNA from 1 species